rnacentral:rRNA from 1 species
UGAGUGCGAGCGGCUACGGCCGCGAAGUGGGUGAUGUCGAGCUUCCAAGAAAAGCCCUAUACCCGUUAAGGCAUGAUGGCCUGUACCCGAAACCGACACAGGUGGGGUGGUAGAGAAUACCGAGGGGCGCGAGGUAACUCUCUCUAAGGAACUCGGCAAAAUGGCCCCGUAACUUCGGGAGAAGGGGUGCCACCGCAAGGUGGUCGCAGUGAAGAGGCCCAGGCGACUGUUUACCAAAAACACAGGUCUCCGCUAAGUCGCAAGACGAUGUAUGGGGGCUGACGCCUGCCCAGUGCCGGAAGGUUAAGGAAGCUGGUCAGCGCAAGCGAAGCUGGCGACUGAAGCCCCGGUGAACGGCGGCCGUAACAAUAACGGUCCUAAGGUAGCGAAAUUCCUUGUCGGGUAAGUUCCGACCCGCACGAAAGGCGUAACGAUCUGGGCGCUGUCUCGGAGAGAGGCUCGGCGAAAUAGAAUUGUCUGUGAAGAUGCGGACUACGUGCACCCGGACAGAAAGACCCUAUGAAGCUUUACUGUAGCUUGGUAUUGUGCCCGGGCUCUGAAUGCGCAGGAUAGGUGGGAGCUUUGAUCCAUGGCUUGCGGGUCAUGGUGAGCCAACGGUGAGAUACCACUCUUUCAGAGCUAGGGUUCUAACGGUCACCCGUCAUCCGGGGACCGGACAGUAUCAGGUGGGCAGUUUGACUGGGGCGUUCGCCUCCUAAAAGGUAACGGAGGCGCGCAAAGGUUUGCUCAGGCUGGUUGGAAAUCAGCCGACGAGUGCAAAAGCAGAAGCAAGCUUGACUGUGAGACCUACAAGUCGAACAGGGACGAAAGUCGGCUUUAGUGAUCCGACGGUUCUGAGUGGAAGGGCCGUCGCUCAACGGAUAAAAGUUACUCUAAGGAUAACAGGCUGAUCUCCCCCAAGAGUUCACAUCGACGGGGAGGUUUGGCACCUCGAUGUCGGCUCAUCGCAACCUGGGGCUGAAGUCGGUCCCAAGGGUUGGGCUGUUCGCCCAUUAAAGCGGUACGCGAGCUGGGUUCAGAACGUCGUGAGACAGUUCGGUCCAUAUCCGGUGCACGCGCAGGAACAUUGAGAGGAUUUCUCCCUAGUACGAGAGGACCGGGAGGAACGCACCUCUGGUGUGCCAGUUAUCGUGCCAACGGUAAACGCUGGGUAGCCAUGUGCGGAGUGGAUAACCGCUGAAAGCAUCUAAGUGGGAAGCCCACCUCAAGAUGAGUGUUCCCAUGGCAUAAGCCAGUAAGGUCACGGGAAGAACACCCGUUGAUAGGCUCUACGUGGAAGCCGGGUAACCGGUGAAGCGGAGGAGUACUAAUAGACCGAGGGCUUGACC